rnacentral:rRNA from 1 species
GGCCUAACACAUGCAAGUCGAGCGGUAACAGGAAAGUGCUUGCACUUUUGCUGACGAGCGGCGGACGGGUGAGUAAUGUCCUGGGAUCUGCCCGAGGGCGGGGGAUAACCACUGGAAACGGUGGCUAAUACCGCAUAAUGUCGCAAGACCAAAGUGGGGGACCUGAAAGGGCCUCACGCCCUUGGAUGAACCCAGAUGGGAUUAGCUAGUAGGUAGGGUAAUGGCCUACCUAGGCGACGAUCCCUAGCUGGUCUGAGAGGAUGACCAGCCACACUGGGACUGAGACACGGCCCAGACUCCUACGGGAGGCAGCAGUGGGGAAUAUUGCACAAUGGGCGCAAGCCUGAUGCAGCCAUGCCGCGUGUAUGAAGAAGGCCUUCGGGUUGUAAAGUACUUUCAGCGGGGAGGAAGGGUAUGGCCUGAAGAGGGCGAUAGCUUGACGUUACCCGCAGAAGAAGCACCGGCUAAC